rnacentral:lncRNA from 10 species
CCUGAGCCCUGCCCCGCAGGGAGGCAGCUAAGGCCCGGCGAGAAAUCCAGCGCAGCGCUGGUGGGCCAGCACUGCUGGGAGACCCGGCACACCCUCCGCAGCUGCUGGCCUGGGUGCUAAGCCCCUCACUGCCCGGGGCGGCAGGGCUGGCUGGCUGCUCCGAGUGCGGGGCCGCCAAGCUCACGCCCACCCGGAACUCUAAGUGGCCCGCAAGCGCCGUGCGCAGCCCCAGUUCCAGCCGGUGCGUCUCCCUCCACACCUCCCCGCAAGUGGAGGGAGCCGGCUCCGGCCUCGGCCAGCCCAGAGAAGGGCUACCACGGUGCAGCGGCGGGCUGAAGAGCUCCUUAAGUGCAGCCAGAAUGGGCGUUGAGGCCUAGGAGGCACCGAGAGCGAGCAAGGGCUGUGAGGGCUGCCAACACGCUGUCACCUCUCAACAUCAUCAGGAAUGCAUGUGGAAACUGCAUUGCUUGGGUCUCACUCUGUAGCCCAGCCCAGAGUACAGUGGCACAAAUAUAGUUCACUGCAGGCUUGAACUCCUGGGCUCAAGCAAUCCUUUUGCUUCAGCCUCCCAAGUAGCUGAGACUACAGGCACAGACUGCCACACCCAGAUGUCCACCAAAUGGCACCUACUGCAGAUCAGGCUCUUGGUAAUCACAUGGAAAUGAUGGCCCAUUAUACAGAAGGUCAGCGGACCUUCCUGCCCAGCCAUGCUAAUCAUUGCUGAAAGGGCUGAUGAACCAAGUGACUGUGGAAGUAGCUAUGGAAGCAGGCUUGAGCUCAACAGUGUGGAUUAUGUGCUACAGCUAUUGGUGAGUUCCCAACAUGUCAACAACAUAAAGUGACACUGAGCCACCAAUAUGAUAAUGUUUCCCAAGUGAACAAGCCAGCACCUGGUGACAAUUUGAUUGUAUUGGGCCACCCAUCACAGAAGAGGAAACAAUUUACUCUUCCUGGAAUAAAGGAUGAUUCUGGAAAUGGAUUUGUCUUCAUUGCCAACAAUGAUCCUGCCAAAACACC